AGCAGCCGCGGUAAUUCCAGCUCCAAUAGCGUAUAUUAAAGUUGUUGCAGUUAAAAAGCUCGUAGUUGAAUUUCGGGGUCAGCAGGUUGGUCGUGCCAAUGGUAUGCACUGGCCUUGCUGAUUCCUCCCUCUUGAUGAGCCGUAAUGCCAUUAAUUUGGUGUUGCGGGGAAUCAGGACUGUUACUUUGAAAAAAAUUAGAGUGUUUAAAGCAGGCAAGCGCUUGAAUACAUUAGCAUGGAAUAAUGAAAUAGGACGUUUGAUCCUAUUUUGUGGUUUCUAGGAUUGACGUAAUGAUUAAUAGGGAUAGUUGGGGGCAUUAGUAUUCAAUUGUCAGAGGUGAAAAUUCUUGGAUUUAUUGAAAGACUAACUACUGCGAAAAGCAUUUUGCCAAGGAUGUUUUCAUUAAAUCAAAGAACGAAAAGUUAGGGGAAUCGAAAGACGAUCAGAUACCGUCGUAGUCUUAACCAUAAAACUAUGCCGACUAGGGAUCGGAUGAUGUUAAUUUUUUAAAUGACUCU
rnacentral:rRNA from 1 species